GGCGGACGGGUGAGUAAUAUAUAGUUAACCUGCCCUCGAGAAAGGAAUAACAGUUGGAAACGACUGCUAAUGCCCUAUAUGCCUUUAAGACAUAAGUCUGCAAGGGAAAUGCUUUUGUGCUCGAGGAUGGGACUGUACGGUAUCAGAUAGUUGGUGGGGUAAUGGCCUACCAAGUCAAUGACGCCUAACUGGUUUGAGAGGAUGAUCAGUCACACUGGAACUGAGACACGGUCCAGACUCCUACGGGAGGCAGCAGUGGGGAAUAUUGCACAAUGGAGGAAACUCUGAUGCAGCAACGCCGCGUGGAGGAUGACACAUUUCGGUGCGUAAACUCCUUUUAUAUAGGAAGAUAAUGACGGUACUAUAUGAAUAAGCGCCGGCUAACUCCGUGCCAGCAGCCGCGGUAAUACGGAGGGCGCAAGCGUUACUCGGAAUCACUGGGCGUAAAGAGCGUGUAGGCGGAUAGAUAAGUCAGAAGUGAAAUCCUAUGGCUCAACCAUAGAACUGCUUUUGAAACUGUUUAUCUAGAGUGUGGGAGAGGUAGAUGGAAUUUCUGGUGUAGGGGUAAAAUCCGUAGAGAUCAGAAGGAAUACCGAUUGCGAAGGCGAUCUACUGGAACAUAACUGACGCUGAGACGCGAAAGCGUGGGGAGCAAACAGGAUUAGAUACCCUGGUAGUCCACGCCCUAAACGAUGUACACUAGUUGUUGUGAGGCUUGACCUUGCAGUAAUGCAGUUAACACAUUAAGUG
rnacentral:rRNA from 1 species